UGUUGUCCUGGACAGUGAAGAGAGUUCAAUUCCUAUGCUGUACACACACCACAGACCACCACACAUUGAAACAGACUUCGAGCUUUUCUUUUUUUGUACACCAGGUACCAUGGCAAAGGUGUUCCACUUAACAGAAGCUGAACCACCACAUAAUGACAACGAACAGCAUGUCCUUUAAUGGCUCAGAACCACAGAGCUGAACGCGGCGUACAGACGACAGCUUUGCAAGCACUUAUAAGUUGCAUCAAUGAAAACCUGCAUAUCACACUUCAUCGAGAAAGGGGGACACUAUACCACCAUGAGACAGUGAAAGCCACAAGCUGAUCAGCUAAACACCUGCUCUGUACAAUGCAAA
rnacentral:lncRNA from 1 species